rnacentral:lncRNA from 1 species
AUUCAUAUAAAUUGUUUUUACUUUUUGAAUACUUUAUGAAUGUUGUGUGAAUCGUACAGCCUCUUAUUUUGCCUCUGAAAGGUAAAUGGAAGUAGGAUGUUACUGAUGAAUUCCUUCCUACAUUAUCAUAUUUUAAAGUUUAUAUUUUUACUACACUUUUGACUUUAAAAAAAUACAAAAUCUUGAAGGGAUAAUGUUUGAAAUCAAACCGACCUUACAUAAAAGCAAAGCAGAGGAUGCAGAAAACAGAGGAGCAACCAAGUUGAACAUGCAGAGUUGCAGAAAGAUAUGACCACAACAGAUGGUGUACUUCUUUGCUUUUAAACCCACCUCAUCCUUCCAUAUUGGUCAUUGGAGGCUGCUACCGCCUUUCAAUUUUAAGUAUUUUUGACACCACAAUUCAUUCUUAUAUAUAUCUAUCUUCCUCAGGGGAUAUAUUUGUUGUCUCAUAGUUUGUGUCACUUCAUGUAUCAUGGGCUCGUGAUUACAAGUUCACGGUACAUGAAAUGGUAUAAACUGUGGACAGCAGAUGUGUUCUAGUGGAAACAUCAUGCACCAAGUUAUCUUUGAAUGGAAAGAAGAAUUUAUCUGAAAAUAUAUUCAUUUGUGCUUAAAAAGCAUAUACUAAUUUCUCAACAAUUAGUGAACUCUGGAUAGUGUGCUUAUGUCUAAACUGGGAAUGAAAUCAGGACACAGUUUAAAAAUCCCAAAAACAUAAUCACAGUGCUCAUGAAAUUUAUAAGUUGUCUGACAAGUGUAGAACUGUCCUACAACAGGGUUAUGCAUGUUCAGAUGAAGCAAAAGGCAUGUGAUAGGAAAUUUUUUGGUUUGGAAAUUGAAAUCCUCUCACACUGUCUUAUCCCUUCUGUUUCCAAGCCCAUACACCUCACUGUCACGCCCACUUUUAUGUGAUGAUGCUACUCAGAGACCCAUCACAGUUUCCAAUUCUUCAAGAACACCUCUUUUGUUUUUAUUUUCCACAUGUAUCCUCACACUAGAAGCAAUCUUGUC